AUUGGAGAUCGCCGCCCUACUGAGGAGCUAUUGCGAGAGCGUCCUCGCUGCGUUUUUCCUCCCCGGGUGGACGAGGAGGUUUCUGUCGCCAGAAACACCUGCGGAGAGGAGUCGGGGGUGUUGACUCGUGAUAGAGAGGAGGAAACUGAGGCCCCGGGGAGGUCCUGCGAGUGGGUAACUGAGGCUCAGAGAGCCCGCCUCACUUGCGCACAGCUGAGAAGCGGUCAAGGCAGAAUCGGAACCCAGCUGAAAGAUGAUGACCAGCAUCUGGAGAAGGCAAGGCCUCAAGAUGGAAGAUUCCUGGGUGGAGGAGAACUCGGCCCCAUCGACCUAAUCUUAUACCUAGGACUGAUGUAUGAGAAAAAAAAAAUAAACCUACAUUAUUAUAUUGA